UUUGCGGUAUGAGAUAUUAAUAUGCAAUAACACUUUAAAAUUGAAUUUCUUCUAUUAAAUAUGUUUGUUACGUUUGGCUUCUGAGCUUU